CCUACGGGAGGCUGCAGUGAGGAAUAUUGGUCAAUGGACGCAAGUCUGAACCAGCCAUGCCGCGUGCAGGAAGACGGCUCUAUGAGUUGUACACUGCUUUUGUACGAGGGUAAACGCAGCUACGCGUAUCUGUCUGAAAGUAUCGUACGAAUAAGGAUCGGCUAACUCCGUGCCAGCAGCCGCGGUAAUACGGAGGAUUCAAGCGUUAUCCGGAUUUAUUGGGUUUAAAGGGUGCGCAGGCGGGAGAUCAAGUCAGCGGUAAAAUGUCGGGGCUCAACCCCGGCCGGCCGUUGAAACUGGUGUUCUAGAGUUGGAGAGAAGUAUGCGGAAUUCGUGGUGUAGCGGUGAAAUGCAUAGAUAUCACGAAGAACUCCGAUUGCGAAGGCAGCAUACCGGCUCCAUACUGACGCUGAGGCACGAAAGCGUGGGGAUCGAACAGGAUUAGAUACCCGUGUAGUC
rnacentral:rRNA from 1 species